GGUGUAGCUCAGUGGUAGAGUGCAUGCUUAACAUGCAUGACCUCAUGGGUUCAAUCCCCAGUACCACCA
rnacentral:tRNA from 1 species